GAAGCCACCUGAACACAGACUGGGCCGAUCUGAACACCCAUCUCCGUUUUCUGAUGCCCAGAUAGAGUAGAUCACUGGAUUGGUCUGCAAUGGAGAAUGAACAAGUUAUGAUCUUGGAUUUGAACCAACAACCUCAUGAUUCUGCCACCGGCUUAGACUCCAUACUGAAUGAACUAGAAUCUGCCCAUGGACGCAUUGAAGAGCGUAUCAGACAGCUCGAAGCAGUCACCGUUAGGCAGCGUCGCCGGUGGAGACAAUCCCUUGUUCCCCCUCAAGUUAUCAAUAUCACUCCACCUGCUCCUACACCAAACCAACAGCACAUUCAGACUGCGCUUCAUGAUGAUGCCACAACAGGAGAGACCGCAAAAACCAACAUACCUGAGAGUACCCAUUUGAUAGCCAAGGCACUCGCAUCGGAUACAAAUCCUAAGAGGGUAGAGCCUUGUGUAGGGAGCUUCUUCGACUGUAAUAUAUGCUUGGGUAUGGCUACAGAUCCUAUUUUAACCUGCUGCGGUCAUUUGUUUUGUUGGCCAUGCUUCUAUCAGUUGUCUUAUGCCGAUUCAAUUGCAAAAGAAUGCCCUGUCUGCAAAGGCGAAGUUUCAGACGCAAGUAUUAUUCCAGUUUAUGGGCAUGGUGAUUGUAAGAGUUCCCGAAACUCGAAGGAAUCUGUUUCUGUGGCCCCUCCUAGGCCCCGUGCAGCCAGGAUUGAGGGUGUGAGGCAGCAGAUCAUCAGGCGAGGGCCAUCUUCUAUAAUUGAGCACAGGAUUCAGCUACUUAGAAACUUAGUUGCAAUGGGGGAGGGAAGACAGACACAGGAUCUUUUUGGUUCACAUACCAAUGCAAUGGCUGAAAGAAAUAGUGUCUUUCCCAGCCGGUAUACAUCACCCGCCGCAGAGGCAUCAAGCACCCGGCAACAUGAUACACUUCAAGUUUCAAGAUUAUUGAUGCAUAGAGCUGCUUCAGUGUCUUCCCUUUCAUCAGCACUGAAUACUGCAAUGGAUUCUGCUGAAAGAUUAGUUGAGGAUCUCGAGGCAUUUAGCAAUGAUCCCUGGAUGAGAAGAAACCGCCAGCAAUCUCCAAGUCAUGAUAAUGGAGUUACAUCUUCAAAUAUUGCUAUAAUUAUACAACCAGAAAACCUGACAUCUGAUACAGCCACUGAAAUCAAUUCAGAUGUGCUUCCAGCUGCUUCCUUUUUAAGGAGUUUUCCUGCCAGUGCGGGCUUGCAGGACCAGACACUGAAUUCAGAAACAAGUUCAACAGUCCGAUCUUCAUCUUCGAGGAGAAGAAGUUUUCAGAGAGGCUCUGGUGUGAUUAUUAAUCAGCAUUCAUCCGAACCUAGAAGGAGGAGGUUGAGAUGAAGCAGUGAUCCAUCUCAUUCGAAGGAGGAGGUUCCUUAUGUUUUAGAUACUUCUUCAUACGGCUGUGCAUGCCAAGUUGCCAACCAUGUUGAAAUUCUAACUGCUGUUAAAAGUAACUGUGAAUACCUGUUGUAUAAAGGAUACUCCAAUGUGAUUAUAUCUCGGCUAUUAAUAACGGCAGAGUACUGUCCUCCUUUCCAUUCCAAAGAAUUGAAGCCAUGUAACAGGUCAUAUAGGCAGUGCUGCAUAGACAAACCCGCAAGAUCAUUUGGAUUAAGAAACAGAGAGACGUCGGACGUGCUGAUGGGUAUAAUUACAGCGAGUCUAGGAUUGCCAAUAUUCAACAAAGAUGGCUCUCUCUCUAUAUAUAUGGUUAUUAUUCAGAGAAUCAUCGGCUGUUUAAUGGUAAACAUGAUGAACUAACAAAUUUGAUAGUACCAGCUGGUAUGCAAGACUGGUUCAGUACUUCAGUUGAUUAGUUUGAUGUGUAUUCUUAUCAGCACUACUUGUGUAUUCCUUACUGCAGAGUGAAUUAGUAGUGUAGUUGUGAAUCAGACGUCCAUAUUUAAU